rnacentral:rRNA from 1 species
AGGGUUCGAUUCUGGCUCAGGAUGAACGCUGGCGGCGUGCUUAACACAUGCAAGUCGAGCGAAGCGCUUUGGAAAGAUUCUUCGGAUGAUUUCCUUUGUGACUGAGCGGCGGACGGGUGAGUAACGCGUGGGUAACCUGCCUCAUACAGGGGGAUAACAGUUAGAAAUGACUGCUAAUACCGCAUAAGACUACGGUACCGCAUGGUACAGUAGUAAAAACUCCGGUGGUAUGAGAUGGACCCGCGUCUGAUUAGUUAGUUGGUGGGGUAACGGCCUACCAAGACAACGAUCAGUAGCCGGCCUGAGAGGGCGACCGGCCACAUUGGGACUGAGACACGGCCCAA